rnacentral:sRNA from 12 species
AUGCCUUGUGAUAAAGUUAUAUUAAUUUCACCAUAACAACCAUAAAAACUUAUUAAAAGGCAGUUAUGGUAUAAU